UGUCUUCAGGGCGAGGUGCAAGUCCUCACCGGUGGUCAAAGCCCACGAGCAAUUUUUUGCUGAAUCGGUGCAAUUCCGAUGCCGACGGUAACAGUCCGGAUGAAAGAAGAUA
rnacentral:ncRNA from 1 species